rnacentral:siRNA from 1 species
GGGAUCCCUCGCGGGUGCACCGCC